AUGUGUGGGAAGACUUGAUCCCCAAACCCUGCCACUGCUGGACACACUGGAAGGUUUAAGAAGUGGGGUCCGGUGGAAGGAAGUGACCUCACUGGGUGCGUGCCUUCCUCGCUCUGCUUCUCCACCCGCCGGAGCCGUUUUCCUUCAGCCCGGCACUGUUGAUGCUCAUUCUGGCCCCAGCCCCAAAGUAAACUGUUCAAAGCAGUGGACUAGACUGGUUAGCUUCCUCCCUUGCCUCAGAACACACUUCGUUAUUUCUUAGAGGAAGAGGCUUCCGGCUCUCCUGCAUUCUGCUUUCCCUUGGCUGACGUGACUCUUCGGAGGCAGAGAGGUCUGUGGACCACCCAACCCGUGAAGGAAAUUGCCCCUGGUAUGGACAUGCCAGUGUCUGGCUGUGUCUCUGGUUCCUUGGGAGUUGGCUUGGUCUCUGACCUUGGGACUUAUGUAACCCUCAUCAACUGAAUCUUUCUGAACUCAUCAGCAAGCCAGGGGUUGGAGGAGGCCUUCUGAGCAGCCCUUGGGGGAUCACCCAGGAUCCUCUUUGUUGUGGCUCCCUGGGAAGAAAGCCCCACUAGGAGCUUAGUAGCCACAUAGCAGAGUAAGCGGGGCUGUUUGUGCCUCUGUCAGUUGCCACUCAGGGGCGGUUCCCUGUGCACUCUGCAGGGGGUUUGGGAGGGCGGGGGAAGACGUCAGGCCUGGGAGCGAAGGCUCCAUAUUGUGGUAGUGCGCGAAGCCCACAGUCAACACUUUCUGUCUUGGUGAUUUGUGAAGCAGUAUCACCCUUCUGCCUUCAUCAUGUCCAGCUGGGACCCGAGAAGAACUCAGCCUUGAAGUCUGGGAACUCGCCCUCGUCCUGGUCCUGGUCUCUGCUCAAUGCUGAUCAAGGGUCUGCCUGGAGUUCUCACUGCCAGUUGCUCCUUAAAUGGACUCUCUCCAAGCGUUGGGGAUGGGGAGGGAAAGCUCAUGUCAACAUUCUAAGUCCAAACUUGAGGACAGACAGUUUCCUGGGUACAGGGGAACCUGGGGUCAAAAUCUGUACGUUGAACUCCUUACUCCCAAAUUCUAGAAUGAGGACGAGAUGAGCCCCUUAAGAGUGGCUCAAAAUGAAGCCGUCGAGGUGGGUCCUAAUCCAAUUUUACUGGUGUCAUAAGGUGACUAGGCCCCACAGUGGGAUUUGGGGAGGGCACCUAGUGGGGAACUAGGUGGAGAGGAGCGGGCCACCUGUGGGCCCAGGAGGCGAGGUCAUAUAGGACAUUUCCAGAACUGAUUAAGGCUUUGCCUUCCUGGAAGCAACCACCCACGAAUUCAAUGGAUUAAUGCUACCCCUUAGGGGUGAGUCUAUUGUAAAAGGCCAGUUUGCUUAGGUCUUUUGCAUAUUAUGCUCUAUACGGAUUAGGGAUUCUGCCAAAUGCCUUGACUUUGUACCAGAGCCAUGAGCCAAAACAAGACAACUUACCCAAGCUGUAGUAUUGUGUUAUUAGCAACAGAAAAUGCACUCAGACAAGUGUUAAAAUUCGUAUUUCAGGAUCGUAUCUGGACACCAGGAGCUCAGAAAAUGCCUUUCUCAUACUUCUCUGUAAAAUAAAAGACUGGAAAAAGUGG